AUUGAACGCUGGCGGCAGGCCUAACACAUGCAAGUCGAGCGAGCGGCGGGCGGGUGAGUAUUGUAUGGGGACUGCCCGAUAGAGGGGGGUAACUACUGUAAACGGUAGCUAAUACCGCCUACUCUCGGAUAUCCCCUAUGUGAUUAGCUAGUAGGUGGGGUAAUGGCUCACCUAGGCGACGAUCCCUAGCUGGUCUGAGAGGAUGAUCAGCCACAUUGGGACUGAGACACGGCCCAGACUCCUACGGAGGCAGCAGUGGGGAAUAUUGCGCAAUGGGCGAAAGCCUGAUGCAGCCAUGCCGCGUGUAUGAAGAAGGCCCUAGGGUUGUAAAGUACUGUCAGUCGGGAGGCGUUACCGAAAGAAGAAGCACCGGCUAACUCCGUGCCAGCAGCCGCGGUAAUAC
rnacentral:rRNA from 1 species